GGUCAAGUUAGUUUAAUUGUAAAACAUCAGCCUGUGGAUUUGAAAAUAAAAUAAUCUUUUUACUUGACCA
rnacentral:tRNA from 1 species